rnacentral:lncRNA from 1 species
AGGGAUAAUUGGUUGAAAAUGAUGGUAGGCACAACAAAUUAUUCCUCAUCCAAAACAUUUUAAUUUCUUUAAUCGAAUAUAGUAACUCAUUUGGUCCCUUGUCUUGCUCAUGCAAGGUAUGCCAUGGCCAAAGGUAUGCUAACUCUUCCUUUCGUUUUUGAACAACAUGAGGGGGGUCUCCAAAUUCCAACGUAAUAAUCACAUCAUCACAAUGCCAAAAGGAAAAAUCCAUCACAUCAAAGUAUAAAUAAUUUCCAAACAACCAAUCAAUGGAAUUUUCAACUUCAAUCGAAUUGAGCAAAGAUAUUUGAAAAUUGACGAAUAUGAAGAGAAGACAAUUGAGGAUUGGAUUUACCUUUCUCGGUCAAAAUGAAUCUUCUCUCUUUGGAUAGAUAACGUAAGACAAACCUAUUACUCCGAUAAAUUUGAAUAGGUGGUGACGCAGCAUGACAUGUCUUGCUCCUCGAAGGGUGGAAUUC